GGGGUUGUGGCUCAGUGGUAGCGUGCAUGCCUGGCAUGCAUGAGGCACUGGGUUUAAUUCUCAGCACCA
rnacentral:tRNA from 1 species